rnacentral:rRNA from 1 species
GAUGAACGCUGGCGGCGUGCCUAAUACAUGCAAGUCGAGCGAACAGACGAGGAGCUUGCUCCUUCGACGUUAGCGGCGGACGGGGGAGUAACACGUAGGUAACCUACCUAUAAGACUGGGAUAACUUCGGGAAACCGGAGCUAAUACCGGAUAAUAUUUCGAACCGCAUGGUUCGAUAGUGAAAGAUGGCUUUGCUAUCACUUAUAGAUGGACCUGCGCCGUAUUAGCUAGUUGGUAAGGUAACGGCUUACCAAGGCAACGAUACGUAGCCGACCUGAGAGGGUGAUCGGCCACACUGGAGCUGAGCCACGGUCCAGACUCCUACGGGAGGCAGCAGUAGGGAAUCUUCCGCAACGGGCGAAAGCCUGACGGAGCAACGCCGCGUGAGUGAUGAAGGUCUUCGGAUCGUAAAACUCUGUUAUUAGGGGAGAACAAACGUGUAAGUAACUGUGCACGUCUUGACGGUACCUAAUCAGAAAGCCACGGCUAACUACGUG